rnacentral:rRNA from 1 species
AGUCGAGGGGGCGGCAGCAGAGACAUGAAGUCGAGCGCGGGAAGCAACAGAUCUCCUUCGGGAGUGACGCUUGCUCUCGGAUGACGAGCGGCGGACGGGUGAGUAACAUCGUGGGCAAACUACCUGUAAGGACGGGGAUAACUACGGGAAACCGGGAGCUAAUACCGCAUGAAACAAAGCGUCGCAAGACGCAAAGUUAAAAGGCGGACAUAUCGGGCCGUCAUGCCAUACAGAUGGGCCCAGAUGGCGCAUUAGCUAGUAGGUGAGGUAAAGGCUCACCAAGGCAACGAUCCCUAGCCGACCUGAGAGGAUGACCAGCCACACUGGAACUGAGACACGGCCCAGACUCCUACGGGAGGCAGCAGUAGGGAAUAUUCCACAAUGGACGAAAGCCUGACGCAGCAACGCCGCGUGAGUGAAGAAGGCCUUCGGAUCGUAAAACACUGUUCAGCGAGGGAAGAAGGCGAUAAGUGCCAUUCGAAUAACCUUGGCGACCUUGACGGUACCUAACGCAGAAGAAGCACCGGCUAACUACGUGCCAGCAGCCGCGGUAAUACGGAGGGGGCAAGCGUUAAUCCGGAAUUACUGGGCGUAAAGCGCACGCAGGCGGUCCUGUCAAGUCGGAUGUGAAAGCCCACGGGCUCAACCGUGGAGAACUGCAUUCGAAACUGGCAGGACUAGAGUACAUGAAGAGGAGAGUAGAAUUCCACGUGUAGCGGUGAAAUGCGUAGAGAUCUGGAGGAACACCAGUGGCGAAGGCGACCCCCUGGACAAUAGACUGACGCUCAGGUGCGAAAGCGUGGGGAGCAAACAGGAUUAGAUACCCUGGUAGUCCACGCCGUAAACGAUGAGUGCGAGGUGUUAAGGAGGGUUGUCCGCCCCUUGAGGCGUGGCUUCCGAAGCUAACGCAUUAAAUCGACUCCGCCUGGGGGAGUACGGCCGCAAGGCUAAAACUCAAAAGAAUUGACGGGGACCCGCACAAGCGGUGGAGCCAGGUGGUUUAAUUCGAAGCAACGCGAAGAACCUUACCAGGUCUUGACAUCCACAGACACCUUCCUAGAGAUAGGGCAUUCGUGCCUUCGGGAACAGAGAGACAGGUGCUUGCAUGGCUGUCGUCAGCUCGUGUCGUGAGAAUGUUUGGGUUAAGUCCCGCAACGAGCGCAACCCUUGAUCCUUAGUUGCCAGCAGUUAGGCCGGGAACUCAAAGGAGACUGCCAGUGACAAACCGGAGGAAAAGGUGGGGGAUGACGUCAAAUCAUCAUGCCCCUUACGACCAGGGCUACACACGUGGCUACAAUGGCAUAUGGACAAAGAGAAGCGACCUCGCGAGAGCAAGCGGACCUCAUAAAGUAUGUCGUAGUCCGGAUUGGAGUCUGCAACUCGACUCCAUGAAGUCGGAAUCGCUAGUAAUCGUAGAUCAGAAUGCUACGGUGAAUACGUUCCCGGGCCUUGUACACACCGCCCGUCACACCAUGGGAGUGGGUUCAAUAAGAAGUAG